UACGUAGGGUGCGAGCGUUAAUCGGAAUUACUGGGUUUAAAGGGUGCGUAGGUGGGCUGGUAAGUCAGUGGUGAAAUCUCCAGGCUUAACUUGGAAACUGCCAUUGAUACUAUUAGUCUUGAAUACCGUGGAGGUCAGCGGAAUAUGUCAUGUAGCGGUGAAAUGCUUAGAUAUGACAUAGAACACCAAUUGCGAAGGCAGCUGGCUACACGAAUAUUGACACUGAUGCACGAAAGCGUGGGGAUCAAACAGG
rnacentral:rRNA from 1 species